rnacentral:rRNA from 1 species
GACGAACGCUGGCGGCGUGCUUAACACAUGCAAGUCGAACGGUAAGGCCCUUCGGGGUACAUGAGUGGCGAACGGGUGAGUAAUACGUGGGUGAUCUGCCAUGCACUUCGGGAUAAGCCAGGGAAACUGGGUCUAAUACCGGAUAGGACCACUGCCUGCAUGGGUGGUGGUGGAAAGCUUUUGCGGUGUUGGAUGGGGCCGCGGCCUAUCGGCUUGUUGGUGGGGGGAUGUCCUACCAAGUUGACGACGGGUAGCCGGCCUGAGAGGGUGACCGGCCACACUGGGACUGAGAUACGGCCCAGGCUCCUACGGGAGUCAACAGUGGGGAAUAUUGCACAAUGGGCGCAAGCCUGAUGCAGAGACGCCGCGUGAGGGAUGACGGCCUUCGGGUUGCAAACCUCUUUCAGCACCGACGAAGCGCAAGUGACGGUAGGUGCAGAAGAAGGACCGGCUAACUACGUGCCAGCAGCCGCCGUAA